ensembl:lncRNA
UAAAGAACGGGCGUUGCUAGGAGGAUUUGCUGCUUUUUCUCCCCCAUGAAAUUAGGGUGUGGGCCUGCUUUACUGGAGUUUCUGUUUAGGGAAGAAUUGAGGAUUCACAGGAAGUCAAAGUUGAGAGGAACAGCAAAGCCACCUGCCCUUUCAUUUACAGGCCUCUCAUGCUGGCUGUAAGUGAAAACUUCCCAGGUGGCUCAGAUGGUAAAGAACCCACUUGCCAAUGCAGUUGACCUGGGUUGGAUCCCUGGGUCAGGAAGAUCCCCUGGAGUAGGAAAUGGCAACCCACUCCAGUAUUCUUGCCUGGAAAAUCCCAUGGGCAGAGGAGCCUGGUGGGCUACAGUCCAUGGGGUGGCAAAGAGUCAGACACCACUGAGCAACUAACACUUCACGUGCUGGCAGUCACCCUCCCCCUGUUGAAGCAACUGGUGCUGGACAUUCCCGUCAACUGCUAUAGAGACAAAAUAUUACUUUCCAGUUUCCUGCCUCUUAUGCCACGUGAUGAAAGGAUGAGCCAUUUUCUACCUUAGUGACUCUGGAAAGUCGUGUUCUCUUUGGGGCUUCAGUAUUCUGUGCUGUUGCCCAAGAAAAUCAGAAUGUCUCUUAGGAGAGCACAGAGGGUUCUUGAGCUGAAGCAGUGGAAGCGUGCAUCACAGAGUGUUGGCGGCAAGCACCGGAUAUCGCUGAAGGGAUCACAGCGGGAAAUUACUUGUGCUUGUCAGUUGAUUGUGUGCUGAAGAGACCGGUGGGGCUGAGAGCUGAAGAUCUCUAUCCCGGGCGGAGCAGAUUAAAGGCCGAGCGGUGGGACGGCACACAGCCCUCUGACCUCCUCCUUGACCUUGACCCCCAGGCUGGCCACCCCCCCCCCCCACCCAGGGAGAGGCAGCGAAGCACACAGGGCAGUGAGCACUGACCAGCCGUGACUAGCACACCCGCUGCCCUGCACCCUCUCCUCAAACCUCCUCCAGUGCCCCAGAGGUGAAGGGUGCUGCCCGGGGGGGAGUCAGCAUUUCUAAGGAUGAGCGCGUGGACUGCUGGGCUUCUGGUUUGCUUUCUGAUUAGAUAAUGCUCCUCUCGAGAGUUCCUUGGACUGCAAGGAGACCAAACCAGUCCAUCCUAAAGGAAAUCAACCCUGAAUGUUCAUUGGAAGGACUGAUGGUGAAGCUGAAGCUCCAGUACUUUGGCCACCUGAUGCAAAGAGCCGGAAAAGACCCUGAUGCUGGGAAAGACUGAAGGCAGGAGGAGAAGGGGACGACAGAGGAUGAGAUGGUUGGAUGGCAUCAGCGACUCAAUGGACACGAGUUUGAGCAAGCCCUGGGAGAUGGUGAUGGACCGGGAAGGUGUGCCACAGUCCAUGGGGUCGCAGAGUCAGACCCCACUGAGCAACUGAACGACAAGCUCCUGUUUGCCCCCGAGAUAACAUCCCCGUGCCUCAGCAUGUCAGGAAGACUUGCCGGGACCCGGCCCACAUACCUCUCCAGCCCCGAGCCUGCCUCUCCCCUCUUUGUGUCACACACUUCAGCCCUGCAGGGCUUUAUUCAGGUCCUUAGAGCCCAGACCUGUUCAGUCCUAGAUCCUUACUGUGACUGUAUCUUUUUGCUUUGCUAAUUUUGGUUCAUUAUUUAUGUCUCAGAUGAAACCUCACUUCUGUGGGACCACUUUUUCUUAAUCUCCAAUGUAAUUUAGAUCAACCUGAUAUCAGGUCUUUGUGGGAUCCUGUACUCCUUCCUAGGAACCAUCUUGACAGCUGUAAUUACCCAUUAGAUUGUAACCCCAUAUCUCACCUGGACGCCUGUAAAAAUCUCCCAAAGCUGAUCCUGUCUCCAUGACCAUCUCCCCCUAGGCUAGUCCCAAUACCUGUGGUUAAGUAAACCUUGUUACAUUUCCUAGAUUUCUCUUGCACUUAGCAAAAUUGGAAACCCUUAGCAUUGCCUAAAAAUCCUUAUUCUGCCCUCUCAUCUUGCACUGUCUACCCACACCCACCCUUGCUCACCAAAUUCCAUGUCUGCUGCUGCUCUUUAGGGUUCUCCAAGCUCAUUCAUGACCUUUAAUGUUACUCUUCACUCAGGAAACUCACUCAGGUUUCAAUGCUACAUAUAUGUAUUUGCCCAAAAAGAGCUUUCUUGACCAGCACUUUUUCUUCUUAGCAAUUGCUUAUUUGAAUAGUAAUUUUUCAGAUCUGUGUGGUCUUACUAAAAUGCAAGCUCCACAAAGCCAGUGAUCUUGUCUAUUUUGUUAAUCUUUAUACCAACAGCCCCCCUGACAAUCCUGAGUACAAAAUGGUAUUUUUAGUGCAUGUGAGUCAAGGAAAUAGAGGUGCAGACACACGCAAUGACGUUAAAGAAAUUGCAUUUGACCCCAUAUCAAUUGCAUUUAAUACUUUGAGGAAGUAAACUAUUGAAGAAAAAAAUCUGAAGUCAAAUGACUCGGGAAAGCCCAGUAAAGAAUGUUAGUUUACACAUUUUUCUUUUUUGGCAAUCAUUUGAACUGUAAGAUUAGAGUUUUAGUUAGACGUAUUUGGCAGUUCUGUGUUCAUCGAUAAAAGAUUAGAGGUCUAGAAGUCAGCUUGGCCAUGUGGACCAGCUAGAGCCCAUGUUGG